UACGUAGGGUGCGAGCGUUGUCCGGAAUUAUUGGGCGUAAAGAGCUUGUAGGCGGUUUGUCGCGUCUGCUGUGAAAAUCCGGGGCUCAACCCCGGACUUGCAGUGGGUACGGGCAGACUAGAGUGUGGUAGGGGAGACUGGAAUUCCUGGUGUAGCGGUGAAAUGCGCAGAUAUCAGGAGGAACACAGAUGGCGAAGGCAGGUCUCUGGGCCACUACUGACGCUGAGAAGCGAAAGCAUGGGGAGCGAACAGG
rnacentral:rRNA from 1 species